UAUCACGUGGCCGGUGUUAGAGUGGUUGUAAAUUACGUUCAAUUCGAUCUCUUCCAUAGUAACGUUACCGAGGCUGAGCGGCAGACCGGGGACACCUGUAGUGGACACGGGAUUAUUUCUUGAAAAUCUUUAUCUUUGUCUUUUGUUUACAGCCUCAAAAUCCGUGGAAAUGUUCAACAGUAAUUUCAGGGACUUUGAUGACGACCCGUUCUUCUCGGAUCCAUUCCGGGCUCACAGGGAACAUAUGCGACAAAUGAUGCGUAGCUUCUCUGAGCCAUUUGGUGGGCCCUUAAUGCCCAGUAUAAUGGAUGGGAGAAGCCGUGGUCACGACAUGGUAGAACAUCCUAGCUCAUCCCUGGCGCUGAGGGACGAACACAGGGAUAUGAGCCGGUCAUUGUUGCCCUUUGGCAGUUCUGACAGCACGGACAUGAUGUUGAACCCUUUUGGCAUGUUCGACAACAUGAUGUCCAACAUGAGAAACAGGAUGCAGGAGAUGCAUCGAAACUUUGAGAACACGUCCACAGAUUCAAACACCCACUCAUUCAGCUCCUCAUCAAUCAUGACAUAUUCAAAGGUUGGAAAUGAGCCUCCCAAGGUCUUCCAGGCAACCUCGUCGACACGCCGUGCCCCUGGAGGGAUCAAGGAGACCCGGCGAGCACUUAAAGACUCCGAGAGCGGUCUGGAGGAGAUGUCAAUUGGCCACCACAUCCAGGACAGGGGACAUGUCGUUGAGAAGAAAUACAACAAGAAAACAGGAGAGAAGGAGUUCAACCAGGACUUUCAGAACAUGGAUGAAUCUGAAGCACAGUCUUUUGAUGACGAGUGGCAGCACAAGGUGUCAAAGUUCCAAGCAUCUGGCCCCACAUCUCGCCUGGAGGAAGCCCAACCCCGUGCUGUUCAGUGGGCACCCCUCAACGGUCCUGAGCAUGCCCACAGGUCAGUGUGACCCACAUGUAGUGUUGAGGACAGGCCAGAAUCUGAAGGUCAGGAUCAAAUGACAACAACAAGGACCAAUCAAAGGGAAAGGCUGAGGGUAAAAGCAAGACGAAAGGCUCGAGCUCUAAAAAGCACUAAAACCAUCUGUUUGUGUGCUUAUUAAACUCUUUCAAGCAUCAUGCGGCACACUCUGGUGCUCUGUACCCACACACACACACACUAGUUUCAUCAAAAAGAUAGACACAAUCAGAAGGCACUGACUCAGAUUUUCAAAUAUCUAAACUAUACAUUUUACAUUACUGCUGUCAAUUUUCCAAAGCACAACACAACUGCACAAUACAAAAUACAACUUGAUGAGAAUUGAGACCUGCUGAACAUGGCUGCAUCAUUUAACAUUUAUUCUACUUUUCCAGGGAUGAAAUUUCUAAUCUCAAUAUGGAUAUUUAAAUCUUAGCACAGUUUACACUUUAGUUUAAAAACAUAAGAAAAAAAAAAAAGAAAUAUACAUGAUUUCUAAUGUGUUGGUCAUAGAACAUGCAAAACCAGUGGUACAAUACUUUCACAGUAUUAAUAUUCUCAGUCACAAAACAUUACAAAAAAAGGAACAAAGGCUCUUUAAUCCCUCACAUCAACCAGGAAACUAAAACCAUUAGUAUUUCUAUGGUGGUUGUAGUGAUGUUGAAACACAUUAAAAUAAACUCAUACAUAGCCACAGCUUAUAUUACACAUUAACAGUUAAAGAGCAAUUAAUUUAUAUCAUUCUGCAUCAGAUGAAUAGAAUUAGCUCUAGGUAAGGUAUUCUGAUGGUUUCAUCUGUUUCUCACAUUAUGUCAUUUUCAUAGUGCAACAAGACACACAAUUAGUAGUUGACUGUUUAAAAUCCACUAAUGCACUUAGGCAAUGUCUAAAUUGUCUUUUUGUAAUUAUCUUGUCUAGUACCUGAUGUUCUAGAUAUAUGUAUUUUAUCUGCUGUAAUCUUUGUAAAAAAGAAAAAUAAUACUCUUCCCUUUUUAUAUUGUUACUUGUUUUUCAUCUGCUGAACUCUGUGCAGCAUGGCACAAACUCUUGACAACGUCUGGAUUAUUCUCAAUUAUUCGAGCUUUGUUCUUGUAUAUUUUUUCAAGAUUUAAAAAUAAAAAGCCUGUGUUAACACAGACUAUUGUCUGAAAGUAAAAAUGUGAAAAUAUUAA